CUUUAAAAAUCUGGAACAAGCUGAAAAUUGAAACAUGACGGCUGAAAUUUAUCCCUCCGUAGACGUAUUGGGAUGAAGAGUAACCUGUCAUAGAGUCUCUCAAAUGUUUGCAGCGCGAACGAUGGAAACAUCUUCGG
rfam:Serratia marcescens subsp. marcescens Db11, complete genome